UACGUAGGAGGCAAGCGUUGUCCGGAAUUACUGGGCGUAAAGCGCGUGUAGGCGGUCUGAAUAGUCUGCUGUGAAAGCGCCUGGCUUAACCGGGCGAGGUCGGCGGAAACUCUCAGACUGGAGGCCGGUAGAGGGGGGUGGAAUUCCCGGUGUAGUGGUGAAAUGCGUAGAGAUCGGGAGGAACACCUGUGGCGAAGGCGGCUCUCUGGGACGGUACUGACGCUGAGACGCGAAAGCGUGGGGAGCGAACAGG
rnacentral:rRNA from 1 species